rnacentral:rRNA from 1 species
CCUACGGGAGGCAGCAGUGGGGAAUAUUGGACAAUGGGGGGAACCCUGAUCCAGCGACGCCGCGUGAGUGAAGAAGUAUUUCGGUAUGUAAAGCUCUAUCAGCAGGGAAGAAAAUGACGGUACCUGAGUAAGAAGCCCCGGCUAACUACGUGCCAGCAGCCGCGGUAAUACGUAGGGGGCAAGCGUUAUCCGGAUUUACUGGGUGUAAAGGGAGCGUAGACGGCAGUGCAAGUCUGGAGUGAAAGGCGGGGGCUCAACCCCCGGACUGCUCUGGAAACUGUACGGCUGGAGUGCAGGAGAGGUAAGUGGAAGUCCUAGUGUAGCGGUGAAAUGCGUAGAUAUUAGGAGGAACACCAGUGGCGAAGGCGGCUUACUGGACUGUAACUGACGUUGAGGCUCGAAAGCGUGGGGAGCAAACAGGAUUAGAUACCCUAGUAGUC